rnacentral:rRNA from 1 species
GGUUAAAGCAACACUGCUCACGAUUCGAUAUUUCUCUAAAGAAAACAUAUAAAGUAUUAUACAUCAUUAGAAAAGUUUCAAAAUUCUUAGUUCUUUUUCCAUAUAUCACAACUUCGAAUUUUGCACGGUGUGGCCUACAGGCGAGUUGCCGUCGUGAAAAUUCGGGAAAAUCGGAAAAUCUAGAGAAAAUUAUAUGAACACACUUAACCAUUUAUAUACCAUUUUAUUCGUAAUUUUAUUCUGCAUCUUUCGUACGAACAAAGUUUUUUUGUAUCUUUUACCGUUUAAGAGAAAAUCGAGGAAAACUGGUAUAAACAUUUAUUGUAAAAUUAGAAAAUUCAAACAAAUAUCGGAAUUGUCGGACCUAGUCCGGCAUCGAUGCCGCCUCGAGUUGUAAUUACCGUGUUCUCGGACGGACUCUAUUACCGGUCAGCGAUGCUUUCAGGACCCGUCUUGAAACACGGACCAAGGAGUCUAGCAUGUGCGCGAGUCAUUGGGAAAUACAAAACCUAAAGGCGCAAUGAAAGUAAAGGUUCGCUUAAGUGAACUGAGGGAUGACGGACCGCAUCUACGGAUGCGUGCUCGCAAUCCCGGGGCGUCUCUCACUCUCAUUGCGAGAAGAGGCGCACCCAGAGCGUACACGCUGGGACCCGAUGGUGAACUAUGCCCGGUCAGGUCGAAGUCAGUGGAAACACUGAUGGAGGACCGUAGCGAUUCUGACGUGCAAAUCGAUCGUCGGUAGCUGGUUCCCUCCGAAGUUUCCCUCAGGAUAGCUGGCAUUCGAUGAGCAAGUCUCAUCCGGUAAAGCGAAUGAUUAGAGGUCUUGGGGCCGAAACGACCUCAACCUAUUUUCAAACUUUAAAUGGGUGAGAUCUCUGGCUUGCUUGAAUAGUGAAGCCAGAGAUUUGGAUCAGAGUGCCUAGUGGGCCACUUUUGGUAAGCAGAACUGGCGCGGUGGGAUGAAACAAACGCCGAGUUAAGGCGCCUAAACGACGCUAAUGGGAUACCAUGAAAGGCGUUGGUUGCUUAAGACAGCAGGACGGUGGCCAUGGAAGUUGGAAUCCGCUAAGGAGUGUGUAACAACUCACCUGCCGAAGCAACUAGCCCUGAAAAUGGAUGGCGCUGAAGCGUCGUGCCUAUACUCGGCCGCCAGGGCAUAAGAAAAGUUCAUAAUACUUCGUUUUGACGCCCUGGUGAGUAGGAGGGUCGCGCUGGUGUGCGCAGAAGUGUUUGGGCGUGAGCCUGCCUGGAGUCGCCAUCGGUGCAAAUCUUGGUGGUAGUAGCAAAUACUCCAGCGAGGCCCUGGAGGACUGACGUGGAAAAGGGUUUCGUGUGAACAGCCGUUGCACACGAGUCAGUCGAUCCUAAGCCCAAGGAGAAAUCCUAUGUUGAUGUUGGUGUAUUUUAUUUUGAAUAAAAUUUUACACCCAUCGGGCAAAAGGGAAUCCGGUUCCUAUUCCGGUUCCUAUUCCGGAACCCGGCAGCGGAACCGUUUACAAAUCAGGCCCUCGCAAGAGAGUUCGUCGGGGUAACCCAAAAUGACCUAGAGACGCCGUCGGGGAGAGUUUUCUUUUCUGUAUGAGCGUUCGAGUUUUCUGGAAUCCUCUAGAAGAGAGAUAGGGUUUGGAACGCGAAGAGCACCGCUGUUGCGGCGGUGUCCGUAUCUUCCCCUCGGACCUUAAAAAUCCAGGAGAGGGCCACGAUAGAUGUCGCGCCGGUUCGUACCCAUAUCCGCAGCAGGUCUCCAAGGUGAAGAGCCUCUAGUCGAUAGAUAAAUGUAGGUAAGGAAAGUCGGCAAAUUGGAUCCGUAACUUCGGGAUAAGGAUUGGCUCUGAGGAUCGGGGCGUGCCGGGCUUGGUUGAGAAGCGGGCGUAGGCCGAUGUGCCGGGCCUGGGCGAGGUGAAAUUGUCCUUGUGACUUAGAUCCCAGCUCGGUCCCGUGUCUAGGCCUCCCGCGGAUAUUUCUUGCUGCGAGGUUUCUGUGCCGGCUUCGGUUGGUCAGUCGUACUCUUCGGCCGCCAUUCAACGGUCAGCUCAGAACUGGCACGGACUAAGGGAAUCCGACUGUCUAAUUAAAACAAAGCAUUGCAAUGACCCUAGCGGGUGUUGACGCAAUGUGAUUUCUGCCCAGUGCUCUGAAUGUCAACGUGAAUAAAUUCAAGCAAGCGCGGGUAUUCAAGUAUUCAAGUAAGCAACGGCGGGAUUAACUAUGACUAUACAAACUUAGCCUCGGAUGAACGUAAUAAUUCGGGUAGGCCCACUGGCUUACCCGCACUGACUGUAUCUGCGAGUCAUUUGUACCGUUUUCCACAAUGCGGAAAAUCCUUCCAAACCAUAAUUGGCCGUGGAGUGCAUGAACAGAAAAUACACAAGGAUUGGUAUGAUAACGAGUUAGCAAAAAUUAAUACUAAGAAAGCGCGGUGGUCCAAAGAGGAACAGGCACUCUUGGCUAAAGAGGAGGCUACGCUAGUUAAAGAAGGUACUAGUCAUAUAAACAAAGCUCUCCUACUAGUUACACCUGGGCGUACUCUUGAAGCAAUUAAAGGUCAAAGACGUUCCCCAAAAUACAAGAGCCAAGUUGCCAAAUUCCUCUAGGAAUUAAGCGAGGAUCACAGUAAUGGUAAAA